rnacentral:rRNA from 1 species
CACGUAGGGCGCAAGCGUUGUCCGGAAUUAUUGGGCGUAAAGAGCUCGUAGGCGGUCCGUCACGUCCGCUGUGAAAACCCAGGGCUCAACCCUGGGCUUGCAGUGGAUACGGGCGGACUAGAGGUAGGUAGGGGAGAAUGGAAUUCCCGGUGUAGCGGUGAAAUGCGCAGAUAUCGGGAGGAACACCGGUGGCGAAGGCGGUUCUCUGGGCCUUACCUGACGCUGAGGAGCGAAAGCGUGGGGAGCGAACAG